CGGUGGUGACGUCACGGUAGGGAGUCGUGGUGGAAGGUAGCCUCAGCCUAGUACUAGAACUAUGGCGUCUAACUGGGAUGAGGAAGAGGUGGCAAGAACCACAAAUUACAUUUAUGAUGGCCCACAGCCGUAUAAUUUCGAGCCUGUUAGACGUGAGGGGGCGAAUGAGGAAUUGCCGAGGAUUGAUGGCCGUCAAAGCCAAUUAAAUUCAUGGUCAGAGGAGAAUGGGUGGAGAGUUGGUGAGGUGUCCUGGUGUUUGUGUGGGCGGUGCCGUCCUAUGGAAUCUGUGGUGGAGAGCUUGUGCUGUAGGGAAGUGAGUGCGUUUUGGUCGCUGGUCGAGAAGCUCAGCCCAAGACCAGCAGAUGUGACAUGCCUCACUCAGCAUCCAGGAUUUGAUGCAUGCUGCCUGAAUCCGUUUGUGCUUAAGAUAGCGUACACACAUUUCAAGCAGGAUCAUGGUCCCCUUCAAGCCAGCACGCACGAGUAUGUUAAUUGUUUGUUACUUUAGCAUUCUUUUUAUAGAGUCCUAUGAACCAACUUAAACAGUUAUAGGCGACUAGAGAUGUGUUGCAUAGACAAUAAACAUGCAUGCAAUUUUUUUAUUUUCCAACCUAUUUCCCUAGGCAAUACCGGUACACUGCAUACAGGCAGGCUAUACGAUGGGCUUAUGGAGUUCUUGGACUGCAUAUAAGGAAGCCUCUACCCUCCUGUCUGGUUUCAGCCAUCAGGCAACAAUUUCAGAGUGGUGACCAGACCUAUCAUGGCUUUCAAUGGCCUCGUUUGGAUGAAGAAUAAAAACCAUAUUGGCACGUA